CUCUCUUAGAAAUUCUGAGGCAGUUACUACUCCUUGAUUUUUCUUCAUUGUCUUUUUGAUGCUUUUCUUUCUCAUUGUUAUGGCUUUAGUCUUUAAAACUAAGAAAAUAAUUGUUUAAAAACUCAUUUAUGGCUAUCAUAAAGGAAUUCUAGGAGGAGCGAAACUAAAUGUAAUGUAUAUGCCUGCCCCUCCUCUUCUUCACUGUACCUGGACAUCUUGCUCCUUGUUGCUUGUUUUACUGGGAGUGGGGAGCUCAUAAGGAGGUGGUAAAAGUAUUUACCAGACCAGAAUUGAUGUAAAAGUUUUAAUAAAAUAUAGAUACUGGAAAGAAACAUACUGGGCAUAUUCUGUAGGUGAGAAAGAGAUACAGAGAGAGCAAUCAUCCCCUCCUGGGGAGGGAAGAAGGCCUUCUGUAGUAGUUAUCCUGCUUUGUCUGUGUGCCUCUUAUAUGUGUUAUAUAGUUCACUUUGUUGAAGUGGUGGAGUUUAUGACAUGACUUGUCUUCUCUGAGACUGUUGAUCUGAAGUGAAGGAAGUACAGGAACCAAUAGAAGGUAGGCUGUAAGAUGGUUAGCUUUAAUUGUCAGCUUGAUGUAAUCUAGAAUCGUUUGGAACUAGACUCUGAGGUAUUUUCAAUAUUAGCUUGGCCUAUGGGGAUCAUCUUAAUUUAAUUGCUAUAGAGUGAUCCUGACCACUGUGGAUGACACCAGUCCUGAAUUGUACAAGAGUAGGGAAAUUCAACAGAGCACAAGCAAGCAAGCUGUAUAUGUGCACUUAGCUCCCUCAGUUUUUGACUGAGUGUCACGGGACUAGCCUGUUUAAGCUCCUGUUACUGUGUUUUCUUAUCCACCCACUUUGCUUUUUGCCGGGAUAAUUUAUCACAGCCACGGAAAUGAAACAAUAACAGUCUCCACUUGUCUGUGUAAGCAACAUAAGUAAGCCAGCCCCUGCUCCAAGUAGCUAUGUUGAAGAAUUUUGCUGUUUACUUUUGGACUUUUUUGUCUCAACAUUGCCCAUUCUGCCAGACUCUCUCACUUGUUUCAGGGAAUCCAUUGUUUCUGUGAAGUUGGUUCAAAAUUGAAUCAUAAAUAACCACUGGUCUCUUCCCCCUCCUUAGGAGUUUCUGGGCCAGUGUGGAUACAGCUCCUGAUGCCUUGACUACCCAACCAUGAUGGACUAGAACCGGAAACUGGGGGUAAAAGGAAGUCCCUUAAGCCAGAGGCAAACAACUCAAAGCAGCUUCAGGAAGUCUCUGAAACUGACCAGAUUCACUUGACCCUUCCCUCCUAAGAGGAAACAAUAAGACUGUUGAGAGCCACUCUUAGACAAGCCAAAUUGCAAAGAAAAUUCUGAGACUACACCAGCUGCCUGAAAAAGAACAGAGACCAGCUUAUUCCUAAGAUGCAGCCGGGCGGUGGUGGCACACGCCUUUAAUCCCAGCACUCGGGAGGCAGAGCCAGGAGGAUCUCUGUGAGUUGGAGGCCAGCCUGGGCUACCAAGUGAGUUCCAGGAAAGGCACGAAGCUACACAGAGAAACCCUGUCUCGAAAAACCAAGAAAAAAAAAAUUAGAAGAUGCAUAUUCAGGUUCAGUUCCUGCUUCCUAAGUAGCUCUCCAGCAGCCAGCAGAGGGCAGGUCCCUUGCACCUCCUUAUUUACAUGCUGUUCCUGAGCAUGAAACUGUCUAUCUCCGAUUCAACAUGUGAAAAUUUUUAUCAGUUCUACUUCUUCUGUAGCUAUGACAUAUCCUUUUAGACCAGAGCCGAGCAAACACUUCUCCCAGGGGACGACUGUGAGUGGCCAGCCUGCUCUCCAAGGUGACCAUAUGUGAUGAAAAGUACAGACAUGACAGAAGAAAAUCAACAGGAUGGUGGAGUGUGCUACCUACGUGAUGGAGAAAUGAAUCAGAGAAAGGAUAUUGCAGCCCAAAUAAAGGAGUCUGACAAGAAGUAGAGUCCAACCUGGCAGUGCAUUGCUAA